UUUGUGUUACUGUGCUUUUUAGGUCAAUGUUACACAGCGGCCAUCAGUCCAUGCUGAACCUGUGUUUGUACGCACUCUUGGCAAAGGCGAUUUCUUUGGAGAAAAAGCUCUGAAGGGGGAGGACUUGCGGACUGCAAAUUGCAUAGCUGCAUCAGGUGGUGUCCAUUGUCUGGUGUUAGAUAGAGAAGCCUUUGAAGCCUACAUUGGUAGCUUAGAAGAUAUGAAGACAGACAAAUACAGUGACAAAGAGAGAGGUGUGGAACCGCAGACUGCAAGACAGAUACAAGAAAUGGAAAG